rnacentral:lncRNA from 1 species
AGGCAGUGUGCUCUCCAGAGCGGGGGAUGAAAUCUCAACAUCUCCGUCAUCUUUUUAUCUCCAGCGCCCUGCGGAGCAUCUUACAAAAAAUAAAUGUUCAAUACACCGCUGCUGAUUGAACGGGUGCCUGAGCUGGUAAGAACGAAGCCCAUAAAAAGUGAGUUGGGUCAAUUCUGAAGAGCCUGAGAUGUCGUAGUUAAGAAUUCGGACUUUCCGCUGCCCACAUUGAGGUUCCGUGGAAAGUUUUAAAGUAGGGAAGAACUUUGCGUUCUCAGGCUUCUCGGCAUCGUGUUCGCUGGCGGCACCUACCGGCCAAUCGACACACUGCAGCCUCUCUCCGGCUAUUGCUCCUCGGACAAGAGAUGAAGGAAGCAGUUGUUACCUAUUACGCGGAUACUGAGACUCAAGAGGCCACCCCAGUGUGGACCGCUGGUGCACGACAGAAUCGGGAUUCUGACCAGAGCUGUCUGGUCCCAGAGCCUGUGCUUGUGACUGUGAUGUGAUGCAGGAGAGUGGACUAUACCAGCGUGUAGACUGCCUGGAACAAAUAGAAACCCAGCUGAGUUCCUGCAAUUUACAUAGGUGAAUCUAGAAAUGGAAUUGCCUAAGGAUUUGGCAGAAGGUGAAAAAGAAGAGCUAAAGAGGAGCAUAGAAGGAGACACUUGGCCUUUGUGUCCAGAGAAGAAAGAGAAUGCCUUUGGGGAGGUUGCGAUCACCAGACGGCUGGCCCUCAGCAACACUGAAGCCCAGAAGUCGGAUUGCCCAGCGGCUUAUGGGGAGUGACCCCUUUGUUUCUCUGAAGCCGUCUCCUCCUAAUCCCCUUAGCUCUAUAAAAGCCCGCUGCUUUCUGUUCUUGGGGAGACAGACUCCAGCAAACCCAGGCUCCCAUCCACUCAUUUUGGCCAAUUUAAUUAAAUCUUUCUCCAUCUCCAAGCACCGGUGUCUCAGUGUUUGGCUUGCUGUGCAUCGGGCACACAAGCUUGAGAUUAAGAGGUUCAGUAUCGAUCAUUCUGUUUAAUUGCCUGAAACACAAGGCUCAAAUGAUCCUGAGAAGAAGACUGGCUCGCACACAGCCUAGUAGAGCUCAGUGCUGGACCGCUGUGAAAAAUUCCAAUCCAAUGGUGGCUUGUUUAUUUUAAAUUAUUCAAAAUCAUUUUAAAGCCUUAAAAAUGGAAGUAGUUGCAACUUCAUGUGGUGAAAUAACAUGGGUAUUUGAGAAGAGAAAUGUGAUAUUGUUUAUAAUGAUAAUAAUAUCGGCCACCACGUACUAGCCCUUACUGUGUUCCAGGUUUUCUACUAACUGCUCUGUAUACCUGCUCUUCAAC